AUGUCUCACCCCCUUUUCCCUCUGAUGAAACCUCCCACGCCGCUCCUUCUCUUUCCCCCAUCCCCGCCAGUCCGCCACCAUGCGCCAAUCCCGCCAUCGCCCGUCGAUCCGGCGCGCAGUUCCACCCUCAUCUCUCUCCCUGAUCUGGCAGCCCUCGGCCACGACGCUGCGAGCUCUGGCCAGCUUGACCUCGUCGGCUCGUCGCCCCCAUUCAAUAGGUGCUGGACGCCGCUCCUCGGGACCGCGGCGGUCUUCUUCAUGGGCUCUCUCUCCCUUCACCUCCUACGCCAUGUAUCGGCCCCUUCCUGAAGCUCCUCCUCAUCCGUGUGCCCCCCUGAUGUCGCCGAGUGGACCACGCCCACACCCGCCUCCGCCCGCCUGUACCAGGCCACAUCAGAUUCUGAAGGCGACUUUGAAAGGGCGUGAGAUGAUGCUCGUCAAGACUAACUGAAAAGGAAUGGGAGACAGUACUGAAGAAUCGUGAUCUAUGGCAAGGGUGAUGAUGUCUAUGGCGAUGAUUGUUAUGAUCUAUUUGGCGACGAGCAUUAUGAUCCAUAUGGUGAUGAAGGGUGACGAGUCUAGUGAUCUUUCUUCAAGACGUUCAACAAAGUGAAAUCAUGGGGUUUUGGUCAAUCUAGCUUAUGCAUAAUGCUUGGAC
rnacentral:rRNA from 1 species